AGUGGUAUAAGCAUUUGCCUGGUAAGCACAAGGUCCCGAGUUCGAUUCUCGGUACCACAA
rnacentral:tRNA from 1 species